ensembl:lncRNA
ACGACCCUAACGAAGUCAGGGCUCCAGUUGUGCUGGACGACGUGCUACCUUUACUGUGACAUUUGCAUCGUGUUUGUUCAUCUCUGAUGGUAAAAGCUGGAGAAAGGAACGAGCUUGGUCUGAAGCAUCAGGAGAACGGCAGAGGUCACACAGGGUUUAGGCAGCAUCCGCCCCAACAACUGGCGUUUCUCGUGAUUCAGCGCGUGCAGAUGAAUGAUAGUGGGUGCGCAGGCCCCGCGGUCGUGGACCUGAUCUUAUUUUGUCGUGCGGGUUUUAAUUUGCCUUGCAGCUUCCUUUCCCCUCUGUGCCUGCUGACUGCUUUACGUCUGCCUCGUCGCUCUCAGCGUGAAUCAGCAAAUCGUGGUGAUGCCCAGACUGCUCUCCGAGCUGGGCUCCAGACACCCAGCCCCUCCCUCCCCGCUUCGCUGUCUGGUUCUGGCUGCUGGUCAGUGAGCGCGGCGGGGGUUCACUCGCAGGGCUUUCUGGGCACGUUUCAUUCCUCAUCUGUCGUCUCCUCCCUGCGCCUGCAGUGCUGCUGCCCAGUGCUCCUCUGGGCUGGAUCUGUUCAUGUUUUGGGGAUGUGUGUCAGCACUCUGCAGCUCUGCACAGGUUCACUGGCUGCGUCUUUUUAUCAGCUGCUUUCAGGGUUCCUUCAGUCUGUGUUUGGGCUGCUUUUUAACUGCGUUGUUGCCUCAGCAGCACAGUUUUACGACGCCUCACUCGGUCUGUUUUUGGAGGGUUUUCAACGCUGGUCAGCAGUAAAAGGCAAACAGCAACGAGACAGCAAAGCUCAUUGCAAAGUUCCUCUUGGCAUCUUCUCCACGAGUCACAGACAGAGAGCGGAGCUCGGUCGGGCUGCAGGCCCGGGUACUGGCAGGGGGGCAUAGUACCAUCUUUGAACCCACGGUGACCUGCUGCUGCACUUUAAUGAAAUAAAAAUAAUUCCCAGAUAAAGAAUAAGACGCAGUGGCGAUUCAUACCGCACCAAAGAAUGACGUGAAAGAUUUCUAGAACUUCAUUUCUUAUAGUUUAAGCCCAAAGGGACAUCUUUGAAUAGUUCCACCAUUCUGACUCCGCAUAAGAUCACAGUGGGCUGUGUGUGCAGCUUCAGUUUUAUUCAUGUAGCACCAAAUCCCAACAACGUCCGUGUGCUUUAUGUUGUUAGACGCUAGUGUUAAAGAGUCCAGCAAUCAGACGAUGCCCUCUCCGCAGCGCUGGGUGACAGCGGGAAGGAAAAACUCCCGUUUAACAGGAAGAACUAUCCAGGAGAAGCGAGGGGCAGCCAUCUGCGAUCAGCCCGGGGAAAGAAGAAUACAACGUCCUGACAUGUACAUGUUACAUUUUAUUAAACAAAUAAGACCUGGAGUUUCAGGGGGAGGAGCUGUGUUAAUAAAGGUUAAAUAAAAAUAAUCAGCAGUGGAGUAUGAACAGCUGGACAGAGGAAACAGGUGAAGGCGGAGAGGAAAUGCCCAGGAAAGUUUCAGAAAAUGUGUCCACGAGCUGUUCACCUUCUUUAAAGAUGCUGUGAUGAGGCAUAAAAGGAUGAGAGCCUCGGCCUGGAACCCGGCGACGACCCGAAUCAUCUGAGGACAGGAGACAGAACGAGGGAGGGGUAAGAGUGACGCUGGUUAUUUAUCGAUGAGGACAGCAGAGGAUCGCUCCCCUCUGUCUGUCUGCUCGGAUCAGCUGAUCGUAGCGAGGGUGUUUGGGAUCGUUAUCAGAAACUGUUCAGAGCUCAGUCUGUUGUUCUGCUGCUGUCUGAGUCUCUGCUCCGUGGAUGACUCAUCAUAGAGAGUUUGGAAAUACUGAGUCUGUGUGUCUGACGUUUACAUGUAAGCGCCUUUUUUCAUUUUUAGAAGAAACUCUGGAAGGAAAUCACAGUAAAAGACUUCUGUGCUGCUUUAGCGUGUUCACAUAGUUACCUGGACCCCGUCUUUAACGUCCUAUUAUUUGUAACUGCAGUGAUGACAUUUUUAUCAACGUAGAAAACAUUUCUAAUUAAUGAAUUAUAAAUGUGCCCCCCUGGUGGCUCAUGGAGGUACUGCAAGUAGCACAACCGGUCUGUCAUGAGAACUUAGAGCAAAUCAAAAACAAGGAAACAUUUUUUACAUUUUCAAAUAAAACCUUUUAUCGUAAAUGUAUGACGUUUACCUCCAACGAAACUGCAGCAAAUUUCUGAAAAAUGAGUUAAAAUGGAAUUUGGAUUAAAUUGUCCUUAAAUAAGAGAACAACAAACUGUCCCAUCCAAGAGGGUGGAGCUGAAGUUUAAAGUACCUGUUAAACUGUUAAACUAGCUGGCUCGACGUGUUCAUGUGGUGUUAGCUUACUGUGUUACUUUCUGCUUGGCACUUUAAAAUCAAGCCUGAGUUUAGUUGUUUUAAACUGUGAUUUGACUCUUUGGAACAAAACGAAACUGUGCAGCUCAAAAGUUUUAUUCUUCCUCCUGUUUGCAUUUGAUUUCAUGGAUGUUGCACCAACAGAGGGUCUCUCUCUGUUAUUUUUCAGCGUACUUACAUCAUGACGACUCUGAGUGAUUGUUCACAGACGCUGCAGUUCACCGUUGUGACCAGCAGGCGGCGGCGCAGACAGACGGCUGAGACCUCAGAGAGAUCCGCCCGUCUUUACUCCGUCUAAUGAAUGAAAUGUGCCCCCAGCUUUCCACGGAGCUGAGCGCUGAACUCUGCUUCUAGCAAGGAUGAAGAAGAAAGAGACACAGGGGCUGGAUGGGACAGUGCUGGUUGUGAAUAAGUCUUUUCAGUCUGACAUGACUGUAAAGUAAUCGUCAGAUUUCAAAGCUCUGACACUUCCUGAACUUUCAAAGACGUUGACCUCUAACGGCACCGUGGAGCCUGGAUCAGGUCUGACUGCCCUCAGGGCCAAACUGGAAGAGGGCCUAGACUCUGAUGUUGGUCCAUCCAUCCAUCCAUCCAUCCAUCCAUCCAUCCAUCCAUCCAUCCAUCCAUCCAUCCAUCCAUCCAGGUUCAGGUUCCAGGGCCAGCAGUCUAAGUAAAGACCUCCAGACCGCCCUCUCCCAACCAGCUGCUUCAGCUGUUCCAAGCCAUCUAAAAGGGCUGCACAUCCUGGUUCUGGUCAAUGUUUGGCGUGUGCCCUCUGAGUUGAACGUCCCUGAGGUGAACCAUGAACCAUUGGAAGGUGGAGGAGUGGGUUUACUCUCAAGUCCUCCUGAAUGAGGGAGCUAUCUGUAACAGGAAGUCCUUUAGUGGAAGCUGAUUUCUGCCACAUUCUUUUAGUCACUCAAAGUGAUGAUCAAAGGUGAGCAGUGAAAUGCGGGUUGACUGCCCUCUCACUAAUGCAGUCUGUCAGUCUCCCUCCUUCCCUCCCUCUUGAAUAAGACGCUGAGAUACUUAAACUCUUCCACAUUCUUAAUCUGGAGUUAGGACUCCAUCGUUUUCCUACUGAGAACAAAGGUCUUAGACCUGGACAUGCUACUUCUCACCUCUGCAGCAUCAGGUCAUCAAUCAACCACGUGUGGCUGCUGCUCUCUAUGGAGAUGAUUCCUCAUGGUAAAACAAAUAAAGGCACGCUGGUGUCUGCACAGAUCCUCAGGCUAAAGGUCUGAUAACACAGAUUAACAUCACUGGGACCCAAGCAGAGACCAGUGGACUCACGGACAUGGGAAGAAUAAUUCCUGUUUUACACCCAUCAGAAAUUGAGAGCGUGAAUGUAGCCUAGAUUUCAGCUAACGUGCAGAAACAGUUUUACUCUGGAUCUGUGGUCCCAGGGUUGUUUGUGUUACUCGUCUCUCAGUGAUUCCUGAGAUCAGGGACAAAACAGGUUUUAAUUUUCUAAAAUAUAUUUUGUGAUUUUUCAAAAACAUAUUUAUAUAUAAUUGUUACACAAAGUUGUGGCUGUCUCACCAUGUUUUGGUCUCCCAGGUGUAACAUUUUUUAAUCAUUUGUGUUUUUGCUGGAGAAGUGCAAGGUUUUUUCAAAGAAAUGCAAAAAUAUAUAUUUUAAAUUAGGUUGUUUCAGCUAUUUUGACUAUUAGCAGCUUCUCUAUUCUGUUUAUGCACAUGUGUUUUCAAAGUAAUUACCACAUUUAAAAGUAAGAUUGUUUUGGCUUUUUAUUAUUAGAGUUACAGUCAUACAUAUUUUCAGAAGCUUGUAUUUAAUCUCUAUAAGAAACAAUCAUAUUAAGCAGAAUGCAAAUUACACAUUUAUUGAGGAAAUUGCUUAUUUUUAUUGGAAGAUCAUGAGGGAGGAAAAUAUAUGUCUCGGUUCUCCAAAAGAGAAAAAUAAACCAAAACUCCAUAUUAUGGAGUUGACAAGGUGCUGACGGUGGUGACACACGAGUAGAAAAUGGUAAAUGGCCUCUAUUUAUAUAGCCUUUAUAGGACCCCAAAGCGCUUUACACAUCCAGUCACACACACAUCCACACACACAUCCACACACUGGUAAAAGCUACAUUGUAGCCACAGCCACCCUGGGCUGCACUGACAGAGGCGACAAGAUAUAAAACAAGAUAUUAUUUCUUUCAAAAUGACCAUUAAACCUUAGCAACCUUUGUAAUAUCACAAGACGCAUCAUAACAAUUCUGUUUUUGCACAUGGCAAGUUCUAUAUCUUAAUAGUUCGCCAGCCAGUAGCUGCCUCCUCCUGAUUCCUAAAGUUCUCUGUGGUUGUGUUUAGACGCUGCUGGACUUUCUCUCCUUUUGUCUCUGCUUGUUUCCAAAACCUUCUCUUCUGACUUUUUUCUCUUCCUUUCAGAUCACUGAUGUUCUUUAUUUUUCCCUCUUUCACUCUAUUUCUCCAUCUUUCCCUUUAUGAGAAACUCUUUCUUCAACUCAGGCUGGCUGUUAAUGUUUUCUCUCCUUCUUUUUUGAUCAUCCCAGUUCCUUCUCUUUCGUUCCUCUGACAGCUUCCCCUUUGCUAUUCUAGCCUGAAAUGUACCAUUUUGUAAUUACUAUAAUUUCUCUGAACCUUAUGCUUUUUCACAGAUUAUCAUGUUCCACCUGAACAUGAUACACCAGCUCUGCUAUCACUUCCAACAUAAAUGGAGACAGAAAACUAAACAGCAGUGACGUUUGUCAGGUUACUGAAGUUGGGCUAGCUGCUAUAAAAUGAUGUGCUACGUGAUCGCUAGCGACACAGCUAUGUUAGCAUAUGGAAGAAAUAUAGUAUCAUCAGAAUUCAAGUAUUUUUAGACAUUGAAUUUAUGACACUGAAUUUUUAUUUCUUCCAUAUUAGCAUAACAUAAACACAGUGAAGCUGGAGGAUGAAUGCUAACUUUUUUCCACUUGAUAAAGGUUAACAUGAGGGUUCCCGAUGGUUAGGCUGACAGUGAUCACUGGCAGUUUUUAGGGGCUUGUUCAGAUUAAAUAGAACAAGAUAAAAAGCAUUAAAACAUUUUAACAGCACAACAGGCUUAAUAAAUACAGAGUAGUUUGGCCCGGAAGCAGGAUUCAUACAUCAUCACAGCAGUCGGGGCACAGCUAGCUCAGCAGAUGCCACAUGAUCGGAAGGUUGGGUGUUUAAAUCCAACGAACAGAGGCUAUCCUGGAUUGGUAGUUGCCCACUGCAUCACUGAGUGAAUGGGUCAAAUGCAGAGGACUAAGCAUGUUCCUACAGGAUUAAUAAUGUAAACAUAAACAAUGAGAUUCAAGAUAAGGCAAAUGUGAUAAUAUUUGACACACCUGUGAAGCAGAAAUAUCAGUAAAAUACACAAGAAGUAAUAUGACUGAAAUAUUAGUAAAAAUAACUUAAUAUAAGUGGUGAAUAGCACACAUUUGUGACAUUUGUCAACACCGUCAGACAAAAAUCCUGAUGGUGUUGACACAAUACCCAACUUUCUCUCAUAACACGUGUUUUUCUGACAGAAGCCAUCUUGUUUUUCAUCAGCUGCUUAUGGCCUCAACAAUCUACCUAAAUGAGGCUGUUUUUACAAGAAAAAAUAAUUAAAUCUUGGAUUACGACGCACUAUGGCUGUGACACAGAGUUUUAUCAGAAAGGUGUGCAAUAAAUGAAAUAAAAACAAACAAAUUAUCACAGCAGUGACCUCAUGGCAUGUGUCUCAAACAGGAAGUGGUGAAGGGGUCCUCAGAGUGUAAGCUGCCCACAAUAAUUCCUGAUUUUUUUGUACUUUUAAAAAAAUCUGAUGGUGUUGACAAAAACUCUGGACACGAUUUUAAUCACUUAAAAAAUAUGUAAAAAUAAAUUUUCAAUUGCAUAUUUUGAUAUUAUAUAAGGUAUUGACUUAAAUACUUAGUGAAGAGAGCCAUGAUGUUUAAUUUUAUAUUACUUUUGAUUUUCUUUUUCUGUAUUUUAAUAUUAUCACAACUGCUUCUGGACAGUGGAUUUUUAAGGUACUGGUAAUGUAUUGUACCAUUUAAAAUAAAUAAAUAUGUAUAAAAAAUGCAAAAUCA